GCCUGCGUUUUCAUUAGCUUGUUGGUAGGGUAAUGGCCUACCAAGGCUACGAUGGGUAGCUGGUCUGAGAGGAUGAUCAGUCACACUGGAACUGGAACACGGUCCAGACUCCUACGGGAGGCAGCAGUGAGGAAUAUUGCGCAAUGGGGGAAACCCUGACGCAGCGACGCCGCGUGGGUGAAGAAGGCCUUCGGGUCGUAAAGCCCUGUCUAGAGGGAAGAAAUUCUCAAUGGAAUAAUACCUAUUGAGAUUGACGGUACCUCUGGAGGAAGCACCGGCUAACUCCGUGCCAGCAGCCGCGGUAAUACGGAGGGUGCGAGCGUUGUUCGGAAUUACUGGGUGUAAAGCGGGUGUAGGCGGUUUGUUAAGUCAGAUGUGAAAGCCCACGGCUCAACCGUGGAAGUGCGUCUGAAACUGGCUGACUUGAGUACCGGAGAGGGAAGUGGAAUUC
rnacentral:rRNA from 1 species